rnacentral:rRNA from 1 species
GACAGAGGGUGCAAACGUUGCUCGGAAUCACUGGGCGUAAAGGGCGUGUAGGCGGGUAAGUAAGUCGGGCGUGAAAUCCCACGGCUCAACCGUGGAAGUGCACUCGAAACUGCAUAGCUAGAGUCCUGGAGAGGAAGGUGGAAUGCUUGGUGUAGAGGUGAAAUUCGUAGAUAUCAAGCGGAACACCGGUGGCGAAGGCGGCCUUCUGGACAGUGACUGACGCUGAGACGCGAAAGCGUGGGGAGCAAACAGG